UGGGCUAUAGCCAAGCGGUAAGGCACAGGACUUUGACUCCUGCAUUCGUUGGUUCGAAUCCAACUGGCCCAG
rnacentral:tRNA from 1 species